rnacentral:lncRNA from 1 species
GCGGAGGAGGGGGAGGCAUCGGGCGAGGAGGGCGCAGAGGUGGACUUCGAUCGGGGAGUCGGGGGGGAGGUCGGAGAGGGAGAUGGAGGGGAGGGAGACGGAGGUGACGGAGCCGGAGGGGAGGGAGGCGAGGAAGGCGGCCUGCGCCGGGGAGUCGAAGUUGGAGAAGGUGAGGAGGGUGGCGGAGAAGCCGUGGGCGGCGAGGCGAACGGCAAAGUCCGCCAGCGGGAUCACGUGGCCUAUUCCCGGCGCCGAGAGCAGGACCACGUGAGGUCGCCGGCUUUCAGCAUUCAUAUAAUUAAUGUGGUAAUAUUUGUUUGGACUGUCGUGCAGUACAAAAUAGAGAUAUAGAUAUGUAUCAACAGAAAAAGGGGAGUUUGAGUUGUGUUGUGUUUGUAAGAUUUUGCAGAAAGCUUCUCAUCAAUUACGGGAAAAAAGUGUGGGCGAUGUUCUCUGGUCAGUCGUCUUUGGCUCCAUGCGUUGUGGAUGUGUUUGGUGGUGCAUUUCUUUCCCAAUUUAAUAAUACAUAAAUAGAAUAGUAAAUUUUAUUUUUUUGAAUAUUUAUAGCAUUUUAGAAAGCAAUAUGUUACAUAAGUCAAAAAGUAUCAAACACAGCUGGUCAGAGUUGGUGCUGAACUGCAACUCUUGAGGAAAAAGACAAGUGCGAAAUUAUAUAAAAAAACCUUAAUAUUUAUUGAGGAUCUGUCUUUUCUUUUAAAAAAAAUGUAGAAGAGACAAAUGAAAUCCUCAGCAAUCAGAGCAAGUGGUCAAACAAGCCAUUUUGAUGGCACAGCAAAUCUAUUCAGUCGACCGAAUCAAUAUGAUGAACUUCUAAAAUUAAUAAAGCAAUUAAUUUUUAAAUUUAGAAGUCAUUGAUUAUCACUUUUUUAAUAAGUGUAUAUUGCAAUCUACAUUAAUUUAGUUGAUUGUAAUAUAAAAAUAGUAUUGUAAUAUUAUGAUCGUUGAUGCGCCAAAAAUUAUAAUAUUACAUCAUUUUUAUUUUAGCAGUAUAUUAAUAUUUAGUUAGAUAAAUUUAGGUACCGGACUUGGCUACUUGGUUUGUACUUAAUUCCAUACCAUUUGUUUGUUUGUUUGUUUUUUUUUUUGGAAUGUUACUUCAUCCCCUCUUUUGAUGUUGACUAUUGUCAAUUUGGCUUAAAUUAGCGUGCCAUAUCACUAAGAGAAUCUUAUUGAAGAAACAAUGGUCACAUAUGACGUAAUUAUAGUCAAAACAAAAAAGCUUUUAUAUUCUUAGGAAAUUACUUAUGUAAUAUUCGAAUUACCAUCCAAAAGGAAAAGAAAAAUUAACCACACAUUUUUCUGGUCCAAGUGGCUUGACAUUUUCAAAUAUAGUUUCCAAAUUUAUUUACUUUAUAAAAAAUAUUUACGCGUAAUAAGUUGACCUGAGAAACAAACUAAUCAUUGAGUAUACUAACAUUCUUGCGAAAUUAAUACAAAUGACACACGAAAUUAACAGAUAGCACGAUGCAUACUAAACAAACUAUUAAUAUAAAUGACACGCGAAAUUAACAGGUGAUACAAUGCAUACUAUGAAAAAAAUUAAUUCGACAAAAAAUUAUAAUUGAUAAAAACAAUUAUUCACAAAAAUAUAGAUUUGAUACUUUGUUUACUUUUACGCAGCACAAGAAAAUAAAUAGAUAAACCUAAGUAAUAGAUAAACCUAGUUAUCCAAAAGCCGACCAAGAGGUAGGGAAGUUCCAGUCCCCUAUACAAACUUAAAUUUGGGACUCUGUACGCUUGUAUGGGUUUAUUGUAUAACGGCGUGUUUGGUAAAAUGGAUCGACACUUCAGUAAAGCCACGAGUUCCGUCUGUAUGGCAGAGCUCGACUUUGAGUUCGCAUAGAGCGCGAACUUGUUGAUUUGUGAGACGAAUUCGCACGUGCAGGCGGAGUAGGCCCCAUGGAAGUCGAGCUCUGUCGUUUCGUCCAAACGUUGGCGAAUUUCUGUUACGAGAACUAUGCCACUUCGACCUCGAAUGUGAUCAAAACAAAUACACUCUAAGUUGUUUUUUUUUUAGAGAGAGAGAAAAAUAGCAUACUAUCUGUUCCGUUUAUUUCUUUUAAAAUAAAAAAAUAAAUUUAGCUGAAAAUGUGAAAUAAUUAGAUUUCGAACUUACAAUCUCAAGUAUCAACCACUAAAUUUUUCACCACUUGCAAUAUGGCCAGAGGUCAGUACACUCUUAAGUUGUGGAAAGGAUUGUUUGUGCCACUCAUAGACACACAAAAAAAAGGAUUAAGGGAUAUUUUCGGUCGGGCCGGACUUUCGAGAGCGACACCCGAACCCGGCUUGUUUAUGUUUCGAGCGGGGCUUUGGGCUGGGCUGAGGCUCCAACAGCCCAGCUCAAGCCCACCCGUUAAGCUCCAAACUCGGACUUUCUUAAUUUUCUUGUUAUUUUCAAAAAAGAAAAAAAAAACCAUCUACUUACCCUAUCAGAAAUCAAAUUUGAUUUUAAAAUAAUUGAACUAUACUUUGCAGAUAGGAGUUUGUAUGUAGCACUGGACAAUUAAUUUCUGACAAAGUUAGAGUACAUUUAGACUAUGCAAAUCCAGUGAUAUUUUUCCUCCUGUUUUGUCCGUUGAUAAGAUUCUUGUACCCUUCAAUUUUGGCUUUUACCUAUCUUAUCUUAUCAAUACCAAUAUAUUAAAGUGACGGACCGUCCCUAUCGUAAGUGGCAAAAGAUUUGGUGGUUGGUAUUCAAGAUUUCAAGUUCGAAUCUGUCUUGAUUUAUAUUUUCAGAUAAAUUUAUUUUAAAUAAAGUAAACAAAAUGAAUAACAUUCUACCUAUCUCUCUCUCUCUCUCAAAAAAAAAAAAAAAAAGGCAUUACAGGGCUACAUACAUGAAAGGAUAAUCCAAACCAUGUGAACAGCAGAGGCCCUCCUCGCUCCCCCCUCUCUCAGGUGGGUCACACUUUUUUUUUUUUCCCCCCCCCUCUCUCUCUCUCCUCUCAUCUCUCUCUCUCUCUCUCUCUCUCUCGUCUCUCUCUCUUCUCUCUCUCUCUCUCUCUCUAGAGAUGUCAACGGUCGGAUUCGGGCGAAUUUUUAAAACCCGAACCCGAACCCGACUCCAAAAACCCGAGACCCGAACCGACGGAUUUUAAAAUUCAUAUCCAAACCCGAACCCGACCAAAAUCGAAACCUGAACCCGAACCCGAAAAUUUGAACCUGAAAUAAUUAUUUCUUUUUUCAAUAUUUCAAAAUAUAUUAUAUUAAAUUUAAAUUUUUAAAAUACAAAUUCAAAUAUAACAUCAAUUUUUUAUAUAUAUAUUAUAUAUAAUGCAAAAUAAAUUCGGGUUCGGGUCGGGUUCGGGUCGGGUUCGGGUUCGGGUCGGGUACAAUCAAAAUCCAUAUCCGAAUUCAUAUCCGUUAGAUUUCUAUUUUUGAUUUCUAUAUUCGAAUCCAUAUCCAUAUCCAUCAGAUAUAUCCGGGUUCGGGUUCGGAUAAAAUUUCGGGUAUCCAUACCCAUUGACAUCCCUACUUCCUUCACCCUUUCUUUUUCUUUUUUUUUUCUCUCAACAUUUUUUGUUUACUUUUGCCUAUAUUACGUGUAAAAUUUUAUCGCAUAAACCAAUUCUAUUUUUUAAUUGUCAAUAUAACAAAAUUAAAAUUUUAUACGGUAUAAAAAAAUUGCACACCGAGUGUAUAAGACAUGCUCAUAUACAAUUUAUAAUUUGAAUUUUUUAUUUUUGCCUAUAUCAAGUGUAAAAUUUUAGCGCAUGGAGCAAUUCGAUCUAUUUUUUAAUAGCCUUCUCAAGGGUGAGGCCCACUUUUUUUUUCUCUCUGUCACACCCUAUACUUUUUUUCUUUUUUUUUUUUUCCUCUCAACACCUUUUCUUUUUUUUUUAUACCAAAUUUAAAAUUUUAUUGUAUGGAUCAAUCCUAUUUUUUAAUAGUCGAUAGUUUACGGCAGCCACCUCAAAUAAAGAGGUGGGCUCACUCCACUACUCUCUCUCUCUCUCUCUCUCUCUCUCUCUCUUACACACACACACACACACAUACACACACUAUACAAUUUUUUUUUUUUUCUCCCAACACUCUUUCCUUUUUCUUUUUUUUUUUGCCUACGCCAAGUGUUAAAAAAAUUAUACACCGAGUGUAUAAGACAUGCAUAUGUAUUAUAUAAGAUAAAGUUUAGCUUUCUAUCUAUCUAGCUAUAUCCAUACACCCUACAUACUAUACACCCUACACCCCUACAACCGUAUAAUCCUGUUUUUUAAUAGUAGGUAUAAUAAAAUUAAAAUUUCAUACUGUAUAAAACAAGUUGUACAUCGAGUGUAUAAAACAUGAUCGUAUACACACAUGCUUUUGACAGUAUCAAAGAGAACCUAUAUAUUUUGGGUUAAAAUUUUUUUGUACGUAUAAAAAUGCAUAUAUUUGAUUUAAAAAUAUACAAUAAAUGAAAUAACUAGGAAACAGAAUCUGGUCGAAUACUUUGUCAUAAUAAAAGUAGAUUAUACAUGCAUGAAAGUUGUGUGUAUUCGGUAGUUUGUACAGGAUAACAAAAAAGGACCCUCAUAUUUCUGGUAAAAAUACUCUAUUUUUUAAUAGUCGAUAUAAAAAAUUAAAAUUUUAUACGGUGUAAAAAAAUUAUACACAAAGUGUAUAAGACAUGCUCAUAUACAAUCUAUAAUUUAAAUUUUUUUUAUAUUUUUGCCUAAAUCAAGUGUAAAAUUUUAAUAUAUAUAUCAAUAAUUUUUUUUAAUAAUCUCUUCAAGCAAAGAGGUGGGGCCCACUUUUUUUUCUCCCAAUUACCCCACAUCCCUUAUUUUAUUUUAUUUUCUCUCAACACCUUUUUUUUUAUUUUUUCCUACACCUAGUGUAAAAAAUAGGGUUGAUCCAUGUGCUAAAAUUUUACAUUUAGUGUAGGCAAAAAUAAAAAAGAAUUCAAAUUAUAGAUUGUAUAUGAACAUAUCUUAUACACUCGGUGUACAACUUUUUUUACAUCGUAUAAAAUUUUAAUUUUGUUAUAUCGACUAUUAAAAAAUAGAGUUGGUCCAUGUGAUAAAAUUUUACACUUGAUGUAGGAAAAAAAUAAAAAUAAAAGGUGUUGAGCAAAAAAAAAUUUAAAAAAAGAGGUGUAGGGAGAGAGAGAGAGAGAGAGUGAGAGAGAGAGAAAAAAAAGGCAUAUUUUUCAAUAAUUAAUAUGACAAAAUUAAAAUUUCAUCUGAUAAAUACAAUCUAUAAUAUAAAAAAAUCUAGAUACGAAAAUUAAUAGAUUUGUAUCUCUAUAAUAAAACUUCAUAAAUAUUGUGUAAAAAAAAUUAUAGAUUCGGUUCGGUGUAUAAGACAUUCUUACACAUUCUUCAAUUUGACUUUGACUUGACAUAAAUAAAGUUUAGUUUUGAGCUCUCCUUGGAGCAUUGGUGGGGCCCACCCACUUUCUCCACUCCCCUCUCAACCAUUACCUUUUUCUUUCUUUCUUUUUUUGUUUGCAUCAUGUCUAAAAAUUCUUGCAUGAACAAAAAAAAUAAAUUUUUAAUAAUUUAUAUAAUAAACUAAAAUCUAACUUAAUAACUGCAAUCUAUAAUCUAUAAAAAGUGUAAAUACAAAAAUUACUGAAUUUUACUUUUAUAAUAAAAUUUUAUAAAUACAAUGUAAAAAAUUGGUUAUAUAUCUGGUUGAUUUAUUUUUUUAUAAAUAGACAGUUAUUGUGAAUCUUUUGUUUUUUGGUAGUACGCUAUUUUGUGUUCUCUUACUGUUUUAAUUAAGUAAUACUUUAUAGGUCCUAAUCAAAUCAUUAUUCUCAUCAAAUUUUUUUAAUUUAUUAAAAUUUAAUAAAAUUAUUAAUUUUUAGAUCUUUACAUGUCAAAUAUAUUCCUGUAAAAAAUAUACAGGUAGCAUUUUUCUUUUUAGAGAAAAACAGUGGUUCAUCUGUCCCAAUCCAUGACAAUCAUGAUGUUACCAAUACAGUGGAAAAAAUCAAACUACUUUAUGGUAGUAGGCAAUAUUUUACUUUGUUUUUUUUAAAAAAUAAAUUUAGAUGAAAAUGUGGUUCAAAAUUAGGAUUUCGGGUAUUAAUCAUCAAACUCUUUACAACUUGCAGUAUGAACGGUAGGUAAUAUUAGAAUAAAAAAUGGGCUAGUAUUUGAUUUAGUAAUUUAAAUUUAACAUCUUUUAGAUUCUUAUACUUAAAAGUAAAAUUAAAAUACUAUUAAUAGCAAAAGAAAAGUAUUUGCUACCUAUAUUAUAGUUUUUGAAUGCAUAGAGUUUAUUAUUUGGCACAAUAUAUGCUAUUAUAAAUUGAAGGACUACAAAGUUAAUAUUAAAUACUUUUAUAUACUAUCAAUAGUAUUAUAGAUAAACUCUUUUAUGCAUAGAAUUAAAAAAAGAAAAAAUCAAUUAUACCAUUCCAUUUGGCCCAAAUAUUUAUUUUUAUUUUGAUUUUAGACUUAAGAUUUUCUCAAUUAAAUUCUUAAGCUAUAUUAUUUGUUUCGAUUAAGUACCACUCAUCAAAAAGUUCAAUAAUUUUGAUAAAAUUUAUAGCAAAAUUGAUUUAGAAAUAAUGUGGCAAUUCUCGUCAGAUUUUAAUACAAGACUUUAUUGAAGGACCCAGGAGGCAUUGGUAACUUAAUUACAAAAUAUUUUACGAAAUCGAGAGUUAAAAUAAUAAGCUUACGAAUAGAGAGCGAUAUAAAGACACAGCAUUAUUAAUACUGAUUCAUUAAUAAUAUUUUAUAAAACGUGUUUCAAGCUUUUGCUACGCGCUCUGACUAGCUCCCUCCUUCCACUUAUUGGCAAGUCCCUGCAGCGACUUGUACGAGGACCCGCCCGGCGGCGCGAGCGCCCGCGACGCCGCCUCCUGCAGCUCCUUGGCGCGACGGUGCAGCGCCUUGCCCUUCUCCCCCUGCAUCAAUUCCUUCGCCGCCGCCGCGAUCUCCUCCCUGCCGACGACGCCGUAUGGCUCCCUCGCCUGCGGCUGUAUGGCGAUUCCGACCGCCUCGGCGAGCAGGAUGGCAUUCAAGCGCUGCUCGGCGUAGAGCGGGUGCGCGAUCAUCGGCACGCCGUGCACGGUGCUCUCCAGCGCCGAGUUCCAGCCGCAGUGCGAGAAGAAGCCGCCGGUCGCAGCAUGGGCCAGCACCCUGACCUGCGGCGCCCACGACGGCACCACGCGGCCCACGUCCUUUGUCCGUUCCAAGAAGCCCUCGGGAAGGUAAUUCGACGGAUCGUCCUUGUUUCCUAACAUCAUUUAUAAACAGUAAAAUGCGACAAAUCAAGUAUAGCAACUGAGUUCUCCAACCAACUUUGGCCUAUGAAAGAAAUAACUUACGCACUAAAUCGAUGUGCGAAGAAUUGUAAAAACUCUAUACUAAUAAAUCAAAAUUAUAUAUAUUAUAAUAUCGGCACAUCAUCAAAUUUUAUAGCAAAUAGCUUAGUACCUGAUGUGAAGAAGGCGGCGUUCUUUUCUUUGUCACUCGGACACCUGACAACCCAAAGGAAGCGCUGCCCGCUGGCCUCCAGCCCGAGUGCCAUCUCCUGCAUCUGCUCCGUCGAGAGGGAGCCGCCACUUCCGAAAGACACGAAUAAAACCGAGUCGGCCGGCUGCCGGUCCAGCCACUCCAGGCAGCCCGACUCGUCCGCCUCGUCCGAACCGGACCGGACCAUCGGACCCACCAGGUGGACCGGCGGCCUCCCUGCUUCCGCUUGCUCCUCCUCUCUGAUGGCUUUCAGCACCUCCUGCUCCAUCUCCUCGAAGCUGUUCACCAGGAUCCCCGCCGCGUCGCUGUAACUGCAAAACAAAUCGUUACUUUGACAACUCAAUUGUAUUCGAACUAAGAAUCUACUAUUUUAUUUAAAAUUAUCAAUUAUUUUAGAAACGUACGAUGUUUCUUACCUGCUCAUGAUCCGGAUGACCGGAGCGUAGGCGGGAUGUGACUUCUUGCGCAAGGGGUCGGGGAAGUCCGUCCCGCGUAUGGCGACGCAGCCGGGCAGGCGGACGGGGUCGGGGAGGUCUUCGAAGUCGACGUCGGUGGUCUCGUCGAGCCGGGGCAGGCGCAGCGCGAGGGUGAGCAUCGUAAGGUUGGAAGGGUAAAAUAUGUAGCCCGGCACUCCGAGCUCCCGCACCAGCGACAGCGUCACGGCCCCAAAAAGGUCACAGACGAAGGCGGCGGCGGGGUUUCGGAAGGAGAGGAAGGCGUCGCGGAGGAGGGGGAGGCAUCGAGCGGGGAGGGCGCAGAGGUGGGCUUCGAUCGGGGAGUCGGGGGGGAGGUCGGAGAGGGAGAUGGAGGGGAGGGAGACGGAGGUGACGGAGUCGGAGGGGAGGGAGGCGAGGAAGGCGGCCUGCGCUGGGGAGUCGAAGUUGGAGAAGGUGAGUAGGGUGGCGGAGAAGCCGUGGGCGGCGGUGAGCCGGACGGCGAAGUCCGCCAGCGGGAUCACAUGGCCCAUCCCCGGCGUCGGGAGCAAAACCACAUGCGGCCGCCGGCUCUCCUUCCC